UGUGCCCCUUCCUAAAGAGCCAGAACAAUCACGUUCCACACACACUGAGAGAACGGUUUCAACUACAGGUGUGUUUUAUGUCAGGUUUUUUAUGUUCACCUAAAUUUACAUUGUGCAUCAUAACUGUUUAGCAUUUAAAAUUACAAUUAAUAUUUAUAUAAUCCCUCACCUCUUACACAGAUAAUUGCUAAUAGAGGAAUGGUUCUCUGUUCAGGAGACAGCAGCAUCACAGACAGCUCUCCAGCGUGCAGGACACUUAGUUUUGAGGAAUGUGGCAAAGAUGGUAAGGGUGUAUUGCACUUGACUGGAAUAAUGAAAGCAUUAUGUUGUGUUGAAUCUGUUCUAAUUUUAUAAUGGAUUGUUUAUCCAUCUUUUUAGAAAAUCUCUCAUCUUCAGAGAUCACUUCACAUAGUGUCCCACGCACAGCUGAGGCAUCACAUGAGCCAUUCUCCUCUCCCCUUGGUUCUUCAGUGUGCAGCCCACCGCCUCUGCAACAGACAGGUCAAAUCACAGUCAGGCACAUCAGCCCUUCCUAAGAUGCCCUCCUCCACAACCUCCUGGCUACGAUCAUGAUGUCCGCCAGUGGAAGUGUUCCCAUCCGCAGAGGAUCUGGAUGAAGACAGAGCUGGAAUCCAUGAGUCUAUGGCUAGGGUCACCUCCUGUAAGAUAUAUCUUUUGCUUUUAUCUUUCACUUGUGGUGACUGUUUAACUAAUGUAGAUAUAUUUUUUUACUUUAUUUUACAGUGUAAUUAGGUUUAUAUUAAUAUGUGUGUAUAUAUAAUGUAUAUAUGAGCAGACUUGUGUGUCUAUGCGUUUCUUCACUAUUAUUGCUUUUGGUUUUCACUGCUCUACUGAUGUGUUUAAAAUGCACAUAAUAAUAAUAAUAAUAAUAAUAAAAAAGGUAAACACUAAUUGCUUGGUGUAGUGUGGCUCUGUUUGCAGGAUUCAUUAUUUACUCUGUUAUAUUGCACACAUUUAACUGGUAUGUUAACUUAAGAGUCCCAUCGCUCAAUAAACCAUAUGCAUUCAACAGUGGAAUUCAUUAUAUUAGAGUAAAACCUUAUUUAAAAUUCUCAUUUACAUUGCAGAUAUAACAUAAUAGAUGUAUACUAUUAUUACUUUAGUAAAAAUAAAAAUGUUUUAUUUCAAUUGUUGACAUUUUGUAAAAAUGAAGAAGUAAUAAGAGUAUAAAACUGUUGUGAUAUUUGUAAUGGGUCAAUGUUGACGUAGUGGUCAGAGAUUUAUUCUAUGUUGCACAUUUGAUGAAUAAAUAUUUGAACUCUAUUUGCAUGUCAACAUUAAUCAAUUAUUAACAAUACUUUGGCCAUCAAACACAGAAAACAUUUUAAACCACACUGCAAUACUAAUGCAUUGUUAUUAUUUCAG